UAAAAUUCCCCAUACCAAGGAAAUAAGCACCUUUCAUAAAUCAGCACUAUUCCUGACAGAUCGAUCAAUUUUUGGUUGUUAAUCCGAAAGGAGGAGUUUUAAUUGCUUCCUGCCUUCCAGCCCGGGCACCUCGCAGCGCCGGCUCCGGCACAAGCCCGGCUCUUCCCCUUCCAUGCUCUGCCGAGGGAAUAGCCGCCGAGACCCCGCGCAGCGCCGCGUAGAGCAGCGCCCGCCGCGCUCCCUGCACGCCGUCGGCAAGGAACUGCGAGGUAGGAGCCGUGCGGGGUGCUCAGCGGGGCGCGCAGACGCGCGGUGCGGCGCGCACGGCUCGUCCCAGUCUUUUAUAGGACCCUUGGACAGUUUAUAGACACCAGCUGACACCUGUAAGGUUCACCUGAAGCUGUUCAAACACCACACUGUGAUUUACCUGCAACUCUUAAUGCACCAAAAAGGGAAAAAUUGAUCAGAUCAGAGUGGAUGAGGAACUCCUCUCUUCUGUCUCUAGAAUGGGGAUGUAAAGCUGUCGGGUUUUACAACUGCCCUCACAGCGCUUCAAUUAAAGAGAGCUUUUGAGGGGAGACUGGGCCUUUCUCUCCCAGCCUGGGGGCCUGAUCAUCCCAGCACAGCCCCAGCCACGGUGGGGGUCCAGUGCUGCAUUGGGGUGCAAGGAAGCAUCAGCAGCAUCAUCAGCAGCAUCAGCAUCAGCAGCAUCAGCAUCAUCACCCUUUCCUGAGAAAGGUACCAACAGCUCACACGUGGCCAUGUGGUGUCUAUUAACUUUAUUUAACCUGAUAAAGUCAAAUUAGCAAAAGUAUAAUAGAAAUGGGAAGGAAACCCCCUUAUUUUAUGACUUUGAGAGCCUUUGCCAGUGCCAGGCUGCCUGGGCAGAAGGAAGCCCAGUGGUUUGCCCAGCCCAGGUCCAGGGGAUCCAGGCAAUGAGGCUUCAGGGCUCCAGCACACGCUCCUCAGGUUAAUCACUGUUUUUAACGUCUUCAAACUUAAUCUGACAAGCUCAGAUGCUCAAAAUAAAGGGACAUAAAUAAAACAACGACUUGCAAGACGCUCUUUAUCCAUCCUGUGCCAUUUCUCCUUUACACCUUGUGUUUUCACCCCAACCAAAGUAUCCAGGCAGGCUGGUAAUUGUGUCUUUGUCUCAGUGGGAAGCUGGGAGGCUCUUGCAAUCAGCUGCAGCAUCUGGAAAUCCAGGUAAAGCAGCGGCUCUCGCCCUAAUCCCACUCCUCACAAUCCCCUCAAGUUUGAUCAUCCGAAGAAAGCCACCUCCUCGCUCGGUAUUUAUCAUCUUUCAGACAGUGAUCUUUUACUCCCUCAUGCAACAUUUCCGCCAGCGUUAUAUAUUUCAGAGACAUUUUCAUGUAUGUAUAUGCUAGGAAUUGUAUGCAAUAUCCCAGAAUGGUUCCACCAGUAGCGUACAGGGAAACAUUAUGGUAUUAACCACCUCUCACCUCGCCCGUUACCGUGUUUCUUUUCCUAACGUACUGCAGUAUAAGAAGCAUCUGAUUUCCUGUUUAAGUGCCAUAUAAUCACUUGUUACACAUAACAGCACACUUCCUUUUAAUGCUUAAAUCCUGGGAGCUGCGAUUUCCAGAGGCCUCAUGACUGCUUCAGCAAUCCUCUAUGAAUCGUUGAGCCCAUCAGACCUGAUCCCUGGAAUAAAACAGCCCACGGGGCUUCCCGGAGUCCUCUUUGGAUAUGGACACAAUAUAUCGUGUCGAUGAAAGGAAAAAGGUGGGUGAUAGAUGCACAGCAACUGCUGGUAAGCUUUUUCUGAUUAGUUAAUCAUAGAUUUAUAGAA